CAUGUCUGUAUGAAGUUGAAUAGAGUCUGUUCUGCCCGUUGAAUGUAAAAUUUGAAAGGCCGCAGUAUCUUGACUGUGCAAAGGUAGCAUAAUCACUAGUUUUUUAAUUGAAGGCUUGAAUGAAUGAUCGGACAAGAACCAUACUGUCUUUUUCGGGUAAAUUGAAUUUUAUUUUUGAGUGAAAAAGCUUAAAUAGUUGAGAAAGACGAUAAGACCCUAUAAAUCUUGAUGUAAAUUAGUUUUUUGGUUUGAUAUAUAAGGUUAAACAGAUCUUAAGAACUAAAUCAUUGUGCUGGGGCGGCAGAGAUAUAAUAAAUAAACUGUCAUUUAUAUAAAACAAAUAUAUUUGUGUGUAAAAGAUCCUAGUUAUGGAUUAAAAGAGAAAGUUACUUUAGGGAUAACAGCAUAAUUUCUUUUGAGAGUUCUAAUCGAAAAAGAAGCUUGUGACCUCGAUGUUGAAUUAAGGAUCCUUUAUGGUGCAGCAGUUAUAGAAGGGAGUCUGUUCGACUUUUAAAUUCUUACAUGGAUCUGAGAA
rnacentral:rRNA from 1 species